UACCAAUGAGAGGCUUAUAUUUAACAGGU
rnacentral:piRNA from 1 species